rnacentral:rRNA from 1 species
UACAGAGGUGGCAAGCGUUGUUCGGAAUUACUGGGCGUAAAGGGCGCGUAGGCGGUUCGAUAAGUCCCGUGUGAAAGCCCCCGGCUCAACUGGGGAACUGCACGGGAAACUGACGGACUUGAGUUCGGGAGAGGGAAGCGGAAUUCCGGGUGUAGCGGUGAAAUGCGUAGAUAUCCGGAGGAACACCGGUGGCGAAGGCGGCUUCCUGGACCGACACUGACGCUGAGGCGCGAAAGCUAGGGGAGCAAACGG